rnacentral:rRNA from 1 species
CCUACGGGUGGCUGCAGUGGGGAAUAUUGGACAAUGGGGGGAACCCUGAUCCAGCCAUGCCGCGUGUGUGAAGAAGGCCCUCGGGUUGUAAAGCACUCUCAGUGAGGAAGAACGCCUGGUGGUUAAUACCCAUCAGGAAAGACAUCACUCACAGAAGAAGCACCGGCUAACUCCGUGCCAGCAGCCGCGGUAAUACGGAGGGUGCGAGCGUUAAUCGGAAUUACUGGGCGUAAAGCGCGCGUAGGUGGCUUGAUAAGCCGGUUGUGAAAGCCCCGGGCUCAACCUGGGAACGGCAUCCGGAACUGUCAAGCUAGAGUGCAGGAGAGGAAGGUAGAAUUCCCGGUGUAGCGGUGAAAUGCGUAGAGAUCGGGAGGAAUACCAGUGGCGAAGGCGGCCUUCUGGACUGACACUGACACUGAGGUGCGAAAGCGUGGGUAGCAAACAGGAUUAGAUACCCCAGUAGUC